GACGGGUGAGUAACGCGUGGGUAACCUGCCUUAUACAGGGGGAUAACAGUUAGAAAUGACUGCUAAUACCGCAUAAGCGCACAGGAUUGCAUGAUCUGGUGUGAAAAACUCCGGUGGUAUAAGAUGGACCCGCGUCUGAUUAGCUUGUUGGUGAGGUAACGGCCCACCAAGGCGACGAUCAGUAGCCGACCUGAGAGGGUGACCGGCCACAUUGGGACUGAGACACGGCCCAAACUCCUACGGGAGGCAGCAUG
rnacentral:rRNA from 1 species